rnacentral:lncRNA from 1 species
AUGUGCCUUGAUGUGGGAGUGAAAUUUUCGAUUUCACUCAAGAGGAUGGAUGGGUCCAUGGAUGGGCUGUGGAACCAUGGACAAAGUGUAGACAGACUGCCUGGUGCCCAGGAGUGGAGGAAGGAGUCACAGAGGUUCCUGUACCAUACACAGCAAAGAGGAAAGAUAGACGGAGCCUGUGUCCCUAAAGACACUGUGAAACUGAUGAGUCAAUCAGCCCUGAAGGCUGACUUAUCUCUGGAGAUGCUUCCGGUUAUGUGAGUUAAUAAUUUUCUUUGUUUGAUUUGACGUGGUUGUUAAUUGCAGCUGAAAAUCUAAUAGAGCCACAAGAGGAGAGAGUUUCAAGAAGCCAGGAAUGAUGGGGUCUGUAGAUGAUGGGCCAAGGAGGUCAUGCUAGGAUUUGGCUAAGGGAGGCCAUGGGUGGCCUUGUCAAGUCGUGUUCAGUGGGGUGGUGAUGCAAAUCCCCCUUUGCUUAUUUGUCUUUGUUCUUUCCUUGGUCCCCAUUAUCUUCCUUCUCCACUGGGCCACAAGAUAUUAGGGUUCUUCUCAGUAUAGUCUGGGCCUUUUUCUCACCUCUGUGUAUUCUUUUUCUUGAUGUCAUCCUUCCCUGUAGGUCUAAAUGGCAUUUAAUGCUGAGGUGGCCCAAAAUAUGUAUUUCCGGCUCAGAUAUCUGUGUUCAAGACUCACACACCCAACUGCUCACCUGACACCUCCAGGUGAAUCUUUCCCAGAUGGGCCAGACUUUGCCUGCCCAAAGCAGAAGAUUUGACCUGCCUUACCCCCUUCCCCCAGCCGUCUCUGUCUUCAUUCAGCAUUGCCCUUCACCCAGCUGCUCAAGCCAGAAACUAAAGUGUCAGCCUCUAAAAAAUAUUAGUUUUUAUUUUAUACUGGAGUAUAGUUGGUUUACUAUGUUGUUUUAGUUUCAAGUGUACAGCAAAGUUAUUAAUUAUAUAUAUACACAUAGCCAUUCUUUUUCAGAUUCUUUUCCUUUAUGGGAUUUUACAAAAUAUUGAGUAGAGUUCCCUGUGCUAUACUUAUAAUAGGUCUUUAUUGAUUAUCUAUUUUAUUUAUAGUAACAUGUAUCUGUUAGUCCUAAACUCCUCAUUUAUUCCCUUUUCCCUUUGGAAAGUUUGUUUUCAAGUUCUCUUGAGUUUGCAUCUGUUUUGUAAAUAAGAUCAUUUGUAUCAUUUUUUUAUUCCACAUAUAAGUUAUAUCAUCUGAUAUUUGUCUUUAUCUGACUUGCCUCACUUAGUUUUAUCAU